rnacentral:SRP_RNA from 1 species
CAUCGGAUUCUGCGCAAUACGCCUUCGUGAACCAUGUCAGGGCCGGAAGGCAGCAGCAUUAAGCGUCUCGGCGUAUGUGCCGCAGGUCGAUCUGAUGCAA